UACGGAGGAUUCAAGCGUUAUCCGGAUUUAUUGGGUUUAAAGGGUGCGUAGGCGGUCGGAUAAGUUAGAGGUGAAAUCCCGAGGCUCAACUUCGGAAUUGCCUCUGAUACUGUUCGGCUAGAGAGUAGUUGCGGUAGGCGGAAUGUAUGGUGUAGCGGUGAAAUGCGUAGAUAUGUGGAAGAACACCGAUGGCGAAGGCAGCCUCCUGGGACGCAACUGACGCUCAUACACGAAAGCGUGGGGAGCAAACAGG
rnacentral:rRNA from 1 species